AGCGAACGCUGGCGGCAGGCCUAAUACAUGCAAGUCGAACGGCUCUUCGGAGCAGUGGCGGACGGGUGAGUAACGCGUGGGAAUGUGCCCUUAGGUACGGAACAACACAGGGAAACUUGUGCUAAUACCGUAUGUGCCCUUCGGGGGAAAGAUUUAUCGCCUUUGGAGCAGCCCGCGUUGGAUUAGCUAGUUGGUGAGGUAAAGGCUCACCAAGGCGACGAUCCAUAGCUGGUCUGAGAGGAUGACCAGCCACACUGGGACUGAGACACGGCCCAGACUCCUACGGGAGGCAGCAGUAGGGAAUCUUGCGCAAUGGGCGAAAGCCUGACGCAGCCAUGCCGCGUGUAUGAUGAAGGUCUUAGGAUUGUAAAAUACUUUCACCGGGGAAGAUAAUGACGGUACCCGGAGAAGAAGCCCCGGCUAACUUCGUGCCAGCCGCCGCGGUAA
rnacentral:rRNA from 1 species